GAUGAACGCUGGCGGCGUGCCUAAUACAUGCAAGUCGAGCGAACAGACGAGGAGCUUGCUCCUCUGACGUUAGCGGCGGACGGGUGAGUAACACGUGGAUAACCUACCUAUAAGACUGGGAUAACUUCGGGAAACCGGAGCUAAUACCGGAUAAUAUAUUGAACCGCAUGGUUCAAUAGUGAAAGACGGUUUUGCUGUCACUUAUAGAUGGAUCCGCGCCGCAUUAGCUAGUUGGUAAGGUAACGGCUUACCAAGGCAACGAUGCGUAGCCGACCUGAGAGGGUGAUCGGCCACACUGGAACUGAGACACGGACCAGGCUCCUACGGGAGGCAGCAGUAGGGAAUCUUCCGCAAUGGGCGAAAGCCUGACGGAGCAACGCCGCGUGAGUGAUGAAGGUCUUCGGAUCGUAAAACUCUGUUAUUAGGGAAGAACAAAUGUGUAAGUAACUAUGCACGUCUUGACGGUACCUAAUCAGAAAGCCACGGCUAACUACGUG
rnacentral:rRNA from 1 species